GCGGGUAUCGUAUAGUGGUUAUUAUAUGACCUUGCCAAGGUCGAGAGACGGGUUCAAUUCCCGUUACCCGCUCCA
rnacentral:tRNA from 1 species